UGUUAAAAUUUUUAUCCAAUUGUAUUGUUAAAAGUGGCAUGGCUAACAGAAUAAUCAGACGUGUAUCUUAUGCUAAUGUACAAAGAUAAGUUUUUAAUAGAAGAAAUGAAUAAAAUUUUUAACA
rfam:Gossypium raimondii Chr08_contig_715, whole genome shotgun sequence.